GGGUGUAUGGUCUAGUGGUAUGAUUUCUGUUUUGCAAUGCUUCAUCCGCAUUCUCAACUUACAGACGGUCCCCGGUUCGAUCCCGGGUGCAUCCA